AACGAACGCUGGCGGCAUGCCUAACACAUGCAAGUCGAACGAGACCUUCGGGUCUAGUGGCGCACGGGUGCGUAACGCGUGGGAACCUGCCCUUAGGUUCGGAAUAACUCCCCGAAAGGGGUGCUAAUACCGGAUAAUGUCUUCGGACCAAAGAUUUAUCGCCUUUGGAUGGGCCCGCGUUGGAUUAGCUAGUUGGUAGGGUAAAAGCCUACCAAGGCGACGAUCCAUAGCUGGUCUGAGAGGAUGAUCAGCCACACUGGGACUGAGACACGGCCCAGACUCCUACGGGAGGCAGCAGUGGGGAAUAUUGGACAAUGGGCGAAAGCCUGAUCCAGCGAUGCCGGGUGAGUGAUGAAGGCCUUAGGGUUGUAAAGCUCUUUUACCCGGGAUGAUAAUGACAGUACCGGGAGAAUAAGCUCCGGCUAACUCCGU
rnacentral:rRNA from 1 species